CACGUAGGCACCAAGCGUUGUCCGGAUUUAUUGGGCGUAAAGAGCUCGUAGGCGGUUCAGUAAGUCGGGUGUGAAAACUCUGGGCUCAACCCAGAGACGCCACCCGAUACUGCUGUGACUUGAGUACGGUAGGGGAGUGGGGAAUUCCUGGUGUAGCGGUGAAAUGCGCAGAUAUCAGGAGGAACACCAGUGGCGAAGGCGCCACUCUGGGCCGUAACUGACGCUGAGGCGCGAAAGCUAGAGGAGCGAACGGG
rnacentral:rRNA from 1 species